AUUGAACGCUGGCGGCAUGCCUUACACACGCAAGUCGAACGGCAGCACGGGUGCUUGCACCUGGUGGCGAGUGGCGGACGGGUGAGUAAUACAUCGGAACGUGUCCUGAAGUGGGGGAUAACGCAUCGAAAGAUGUGCUAAUACCGCAUAUACUCUGAGGAGUAAAGUAGGGGAUCGAAAGACCUUAUGCUUUUGGAGCGGCCGAUGUCUGAUUAGCUAGUUGGUGGGGUAAUUGCCCACCAAGGCGACGAUCAGUAGUUGGUCUGAGAGGACGACCAGCCACACUGGGACUGAGACACGGCCCAGACUCCUACGGGAGGCAGCAGUGGGGAAUUUUGGACAAUGGGCGCAAGCCUGAUCCAGCAAUGCCGCGUGAGUGAAGAAGGCCUCGGGUUGUAAGACGUCUUUCUAGUUGUAGAAGAAAGAAUUAGUAACUAAUAAUUAACUAGUUACUAUGACGGUAGUACUAACAGAAGAAGACA
rnacentral:rRNA from 1 species